rnacentral:rRNA from 1 species
UACAGAGGGGGCGAGCGUUGUUUCGGAAUUACUGGGCGUAAAGGGCGCGUAGGCGGCCAACUAAGUCAGACGUGAAAUCCCUCGGCUCAACCGGGGAACUGCGUCUGAUACUGGAUGGCUUGAAUUCGGGAGAGGGAUGCGGAAUUCCUGGUGUAGCGGUGGAAUGCGCAGAUAUCAAGGAGGAACAGCCGGUGGCGAAGGCGGGAUCCUGGGCCAGUACUGAACGCUGAGGAGCGAAAGCGUGGGGAGCAAAACAGG